UGGGGAAUAUUGGACAAUGGGCGCAAGCCUGAUCCAGCCAUGCCGCGUGAGUGAUGACGGCCUUCGGGUUGUAAAGCUCUUUUGUCCGGGAAGAUAAUGACUGUACCGGAAGAAUAAGCCCCGGCAAACUUCGUGCCAGCAGCCGCGGUAAUACGAAGGGGGCUAGCGUUGUUCGGAUUUACUGGGCGUAAAGCGCACGUAGGCGGCUUGUUAAGUCAGAGGUGAAAGCCUGGAGCUCAACUCCAGAACUGCCUUUGAUACUGGCAAGCUCGAGUAUGGAAGAGGUUGGUGGAACUCCGAGUGUAGAGGUGAAAUUCGUAGAUAUUCGGAAGAACACCAGUGGCGAAGGCGGCCAACUGGUCCAUUACUGACGCUGAGGUGCGAAAGCGUGGGGAGCAAACA
rnacentral:rRNA from 1 species